rnacentral:rRNA from 1 species
AUUUUUUAGAAAUGAUUAAAAAUGAGUCCUGCCCAAUGUAUAAUAAAUGGCCGCAGUAUUUUGACUGUGCAAAGGUAGCAUAAUAAUUAGUCUUGUAAUUUAAGACUGGAAUGAAGGGAUAAACUAGGGAGUUUCUUUCUCAGUUCUUUUUCUUUAAAUUUACUUUUUAGUAAAAAGGCUAAAAUGCCCCUCUCAGACAAGAAGACCCUAUAAAGCUUUACAUAGAAUAAUUUAACAAAUUAAAAAUAUGUUUUACUGGGGCGGUGGAAAGAUAAGACACUUUUAGAACAUUAAAAUAUCAUCAUUUUGUGACCCAGAAAUUUUGAAUCUUAAAUAAGUUACUUUAGGGAUAACAGCGUAAUAUAUUUUGAAAGCUCAAAUUGACAAAUAUGUUUGCGACCUCGAUGUUGGAUUAGAUUUCCCUCCCCGCGCAAGAGCGGGGUAAGGAGGUCUGUUCGACCUAUAAAAAUCUCCA